AGUGACGUCAAGUCCUCAUGGCCUUUAUGACCAGGGCUACACACGUACUACAAUGGCCGGUACAAAGGGCAGCGACACAGCGAUGUGAAGCCAAUCCCGAAAAGCCGGUCUCAGUCCGGAUUGGAGUCUGCAACUCGACUCCAUGAAGUUGGAAUCGCUAGUAAUCGCAGAUCAGCACGCUGCGGUGAAUACGUUCCCGGGCCUU
rnacentral:rRNA from 1 species